GAGAGGCAGAGACAGAGACAAAGAGACAGGGACAGAGAGAGACAGGCAAAGAGAGAGACACACAAAGAGAGACAGAUACAGAGGCAGAGAAAGACAGAGACAGAGAGAGACAGAAAAGAGAGACAGACAGAGACAAAAAGACAGAGAGACAAAGGGAGAGACACAAAGAGACAAAGAGAGAUAGGCAGAGAGACAGACAAUAAGAGAGACAGAGACAAAAAGACAGGUAGAGAGACAGGUACACAAAGAGACAGAGACAAAGGGAGAGACACAAAGAGACAGAGAGACAGAGGCAGAGAAAGACAGAGACAGAGAGACAGACAGACAGAGACAAAGACAGAGAGACAAAGAGAGACAGACAGAGACAAAGGGAGAGACAGAGAGACAGACAAAGACAGAGACAAAGAGAGGGGCAGAAAGAGAGAGAGACAAAAAGGCAGAGAGACAGACACAGAGACAAAAAGACAGGCAGAGAGACAGAAAGACAGAGACAAAGAGAGACAGAGAAAGGGAGAGACAGAGAGACAAAGGGAGAGACAGAGACAAAGAGACAGGCAGAGACAGAAACGGGGAGAGACAAAAAGACUGACAGAGACAGAAAGAGACAGACAAAGAGAGACAAAGGGAGAAACAGAGACAGAAUCCCUAGCAACUAGGACAGGAAUCAGGAAGUUUCAUAAAGAAGGUGACAAUUGAGCUUCUAAGAGGUGGGGAAAAGAGGGGGCACAUUCGAGGCAUAGCAAGACAGCCUGUGCAGAGACUGGAGACAGGAGUGAGUGUCCUGUGUGGCAAACAGCAAAAAGGUCAGUCCUGCUGGAUCCAGGGUGUAUAAAGGGGAGUUGUGUAUAAUAGGAUGAGGAAUGGAGUUUGGAGCCAGGCUAUCAAGGGCUAUUUGACAUCAAUAUCAAACAGAGAAAUCCCAAAUUGAUCCCAGAGGGUCAUAGGGAGCCAGCGAAGUUUCCUGAGAAGAGUAACAUGGUCAGAUCCAUAAUUAUCUGAAAAUGACUUUCUUUAGCAGCUAUGAGGAGAAUGGCCGGGGUGGAGAGAGACCAGAGAAGAAAGAAAAGGCAUCUACUUGGAGGUGGGGAGGGGAAGUGGCUGCCGUUAUCUAUGUACAUCUAUUUAAUAAAUGACAAUUUUUCAGUCUGGGACCUCGCUCA
rnacentral:lncRNA from 1 species